GCAUAGAUAGCUAAAUGGUACAGUGCUUGCCUAUCAUGCAAGAGACUCUUGGUGCAAUUUCUAGUAUUGCA
rnacentral:tRNA from 1 species